rnacentral:lncRNA from 1 species
CUUGGGCAUUGGAAGCUCCAUCUAUGUGUAACACCCAGGUUGACCCGGGGUCACAUUCGGAGGUCGCAACUUCUUUGGAGCUCCCAUCUUCUGACAUUUGGUCGGCUGUCGGGCAUUCUGCAACAAAGUCAGUCAGGACUUGGGCUUUCAAAGCAGGAUGCGGUCGGUACUGGAUGUCGAACUCGCUCAACUUCACCGUCCAUUUCGCCAGUCGUCCUGAUGUGUCGGGACGACGGAGGAUC